rnacentral:lncRNA from 1 species
AUGGACUUUGGAAUUGAUGGUUUCCUCUCUCUCUCCUUCUCUCUCCUCUGCUUUGUCCCCACUUUUCAAGUUUACCUCUGCCCUUCACAGUCCCACUCAAGUCCUGCCUCCCUCAGGGAGACCUCCCAGACCUCACCAAGCCGAGGGCACGUGGACCAGAAGCCGUGGACCCCAGAAGCUCCUUUAGGGGUCUGCUUUCUGAACUCAGGUCCUGACAUCUGCACUGCAGCGAGCAUUUCUGGUGCCUCAAAUGCAUCACUCUCACUUCCGGGUCAUUGCUCAGCACAUGAAGGGUGUUUUUAUCAGGGGUGUUAGGUGCGGUCUCCAUGCUUGCUGUCCAUACCCUCAGCUCCCAGGUUUCCACCAGGGUCACCCACAGGGAGAGUGCAGCGGCCUCUGUAUCCCCAUGAGCCCAGCUCACCCUCUCUAAGGGACAGGGAACACCAGCCUCACAGCAGUGGGUGGCAGCACCUGGCCCUUCUUCUGUCAUCUUCCUGUCAUAAUCAGCUCACUGAGAAGCAAUGGAGCGCUGAGUGCCAGCAACCCCCAGCCCCGGAGGAGCUGCCUCAUAGACAGCUUGGCAGUGGCCUCGGCACAGAGCAGGGGCAAGGGUGGGGCCCACCUGCACUUCCUGACUGCCUAAGUGCUUGUUGAUUGGAAAGCGCUGCCUCAGAGCGAGGAUGCCUGAGUUUGAAUCAGGAGCUGCUGCUAAUUAGCUGUGUGAUCUCAGGUAAGUGACUCAACAUCUCUGUGCAAUGGUCUUCCUUAUGGGGUUCUCAUGAAGAUUAGUUAAUAUUAUAAAGUUAGCCCCCCCACCAGGCAGAGAUGAUGUGGAGGGGCUGCCGCCAGCCAGGAUGAUGGAGGAAAGGGGGAAAUGUUGAGCAGGCUGUGGGCCUCAGGCCUGUCCCUGCUGCUGGCUUCACCAUCUUCUUCCUGCUGUGCCACUGCCCAUGCCAAGGCCCCACACACGCUCACCCUUACUUAGGCCCCAGGCAAGGCAGAGGCUGGCUGUGAUGCACCCUGGGUCACCCUGCCAGUGAUCCACAGCACUCCCCUCCACAGCCACAGGCUCACCCUUGGCAAGAGCUAUGUGUGCCCUGGAGCCUGUGCCUCCGCCAUUGUGCCAAGCUCCUCCUUCUCCUGGUCCUGAUUCCCAGAGGGCCGAGGUCAAGCCGCCUUGCCGAGUCUCUCUCUCCCAUGGCCCCUCAAUGCCAGCUCCUCCCUGGCCAAUGCUCCAUGACCAAAAUCACCUGUUCCGACCUCCAAUGCCCAGGCCCCACUCCAGGAGUCUCCAGGUGCCUGUACUCACUGCUGUGCCUAUGUGACCCGAUGCCAACCUCUGCCCUCUCCAUCUGGAGUUAAAGCUCCCCACUCUGCUGCUGUCAGGCCGAGGACCUGAUGUGCUGUCCCCAGCCCGUGGUGGCACACAGCCCCUGGGCUCCCCUGCACUCUGUGCCCCUGCUCCCAUGCUGCUUCCUGAGGCCUGCUGGCUCUUAUCUCCAGUCCGGGCCUGGCCUGGCAGCAGAGCCCUGUUUCUUCCCAGGGUCAUGGCUCUUACUGGUCC